rnacentral:lncRNA from 1 species
UUUAUUUUCCGCAUUUAGUAGUUUGAUGAGUUCCAUCAUGUCAUACCGUAGGCCUACCUGGAGUACACACGCCAGGAGACCAUGGCGUGGCAUGAGAGGCUUUAUGAACACCAGGUGCAGAGGGAUCGCCAGAUGCAGCAGGCUUUUCAGGAAAUGGCGGCCGGCAGGUGUCCUCAGUUGCAACCAGCACAAUGUCCUCCAGCACGACCAGUGCUGCUGACCUUUGAGGAGUUUGUGGCACAGAACGCUGGCCCCUCGCCGGUUAGUUCAUCCCCAAUCUAUUCACCCAAAGCAUGUCAUGCCUUUCAACACAGUCAUAUAUCCCGUUAAUAUGUCUUUUCAACAUCCAGGGAAUAGGUGGAUCUACCGUUGGUGGUGGUCUUCGCAGCACUCCCGAGACACGGAGCCCGACCACUCCGAUCCACGGAGGCGGAGGCGGAGGUGGAGGCUGUCUUGGCGGUAGCGCUGCCGCUAGCAGUGACGACCUGGGCUUCGGCGGUCUUGGCGGUGACGACCUCCGCGGUGCUCGAUGUCCUGGCGCUUAAGCCUUUGGGUCACAUUGUGGCGGUCUUGGUGGUGAUGAUACUUAUAUGCUAGUGAUGUUUCUUAUUGUUGUUUGUGAGAUUCUUAUAUGCUUUGGUGGUGAUGAUACUUAUAUGUUUAUGCUUUGUGAUGCUUAUUAUGAUGUGUGAUGAUGAAUUUGUUGUGUGAUGCUGCUCCUUAUUGUUAUGUGAUGCAUAUAUUGUUGUGAUCCUUAUAUAUGCUGUAUAUAUUCAAAUGAAUUGAGCUGAAACAAAACAGAAAAAAGAAAAAGAAAAAGCA